AUGGGCCUCGACGCCGCGGAAAUCUCUGAAUUGGCGGCGCUCCAGCCGAUCCACACGGCCGUGAGCGGCGCCCGGGCCACCCAAGUGCCAGGGGCGGUCGACGAUGACGCUGCCGACACCGGCUGCGUCACACCCAAGGCGAGCGGCGGGCGAUCGGCCGCUGCAGGAGGUGCGGACGACGGCGACGACGCUGCCGCCGACAACGGCUGCGUCACGCCGAGGGCGAGUGGCUCCCUGGCCAUGCUGCCCAUCGCGCCACUGCUGCAAGACGACGGCGUCGACGCUGGCUUCGCCACGCCGCUGGCCACGGGUGGAGUAAUUGGGCCGCGAGACGGCUGCGCCGCUGCCGGCGACGAGAACAGCUUCACCACGCCGACGACGGCCGACAGCGCGCUGUUGCCGGCCACGGUGUGCCCGCCCGCGCCGCGGAAGUCGGCUCCGGCGCCGACGAGGAAGCGUGCUCUGCUCCAGCAGCGGCUCUUCUACCCGGUGCCGCACGACCUGGCCACCGUGUUCGUGGCCGUGCCGCAGUGCCCGCCGCCCGCCAAGAAGAUGCGGGCGCACGCCGUGGGGUCAUCCGCGCCGCUAGGCACGUGA
rnacentral:rRNA from 1 species